rnacentral:rRNA from 1 species
GAUGAACGCUGGCGGCGUGCCUAAUACAUGCAAGUCGAGCGAACAGAUAAGGAGCUUGCUCCUUUGACGUUAGCGGCGGACGGGUGAGUAACACGUGGGUAACCUACCUAUAAGACUGGGAUAACUUCGGGAAACCGGAGCUAAUACCGGAUAACAUUUGGAACCGCAUGGUUCUAAAGUGAAAGAUGGUUUUGCUAUCACUUAUAGAUGGACCCGCGCCGUAUUAGCUAGUUGGUAAGGUAACGGCUUACCAAGGCGACGAUACGUAGCCGACCUGAGAGGGUGAUCGGCCACGCUGGAACUGAGGCACGGUCCAGACUCCUACGGGAGGCAGCAGUAGGGAAUCUUCCGCAAAGGGCGAAAGCCUGACGGAGCAACGCCGCGUGAGUGAUGAAGGGUUUCGGCUCGUAAAACUCUGUUAUUAGGGAAGAACAAAUGUGUAAGUAACUGUGCACGUCUUGACGGUACCUAAUCAGAAAGCCACGGCUAACUACGUG